rnacentral:rRNA from 1 species
AGUCGAACGAAGUAGCAAUACUUAGUGGCAGACGGGUGAGUAACAUGUAGGUAUCUGCCCUUUGGCCUGGAAUAACACGAGGAAACUUGUGCUAAUACCGGAUAAGUCUUUACGGAGAAAGCUUUAUGCACCAUUGGAUGAGCCUGCACUUGAUUAGUUAGUUGGUAGGGUAAUAGCCUACCAAGACUUUGAUCAAUAGCUGAUUUGAGAGGAUGAUCAGCCACAUUGGGACUGAGACACGGCCCAAACUCCUACGGGAGGCAGCAGUGGGGAAUCUUGCACAAUGGAGGAAACUCUGAUGCAGCGAUGCCGCGUGAGUGAAGAAGGCCCUUGGGUUAUAAAGCUCUUUCGUCGGGGAAGAAAAUGACUGUACCCGAAUAAGAAGGUCCGGCUAACUUCGUGCCAGCAGCCGCGGUAAUACGAAGGGACCUAGCGUAGUUCGGAAUUACUGGGCUUAAAGAGUUCGUAGGUGGUUGAAAAAGUUGGUGGUGAAAUCCCAGAGCUUAACUCUGGAACUGCCAUCAAAACUUUUCAGCUAGAGUUUGAUAGAGGAAAGCAGAAUUUCUAGUGUAGAGGUGAAAUUCGUAGAUAUUAGAAAGAAUACCAAUUGCGAAGGCAGCUUUCUGGAUCAUUACUGACACUGAGGAACGAAAGCAUGGGUAGCGAAGAGGAUUAGAUACCCUCGUAGUCCAUGCCGUAAACGAUGUGUGUUAGACGUUGGAAAUUUAUUUUCAGUGUCGCAGCGAAAGCGAUAAACACACCGCCUGGGGAGUACGACCGCAAGGUUAAAACUCAAAUGAAUUGACGGGGACCCGCACAAGUAGUGGAGCAUGUGGUUUAAUUCGAAGAUACGCGCAGAACCUUACCAACGCUUGACAUGUUCGUCGCGACUUUAAGAGAUUAAAGUUUUCGGUUCGGGCCGGACGAAACACAGGUGCUGCAU